UGAGUACGAGCGGCUACGGCCGCGAAGUGGAUGAUGUCAAGCUUCCAAGAAAAGCCCUAUACCCGUUAAGGCAUGAUGGCCUGUACCCGAAACCGACACAGGUGGGGUGGUAGAGAAUACCGAGGGGCGCGAGGUAACUCUCUCUAAGGAACUCGGCAAAAUGGCCCCGUAACUUCGGGAGAAGGGGUGCCACCGCGAGGUGGUCGCAGUGAAGAGGCCCAGGCGACUGUUCACCAAAAACACAGGUCUCCGCUAAGUCGCAAGACGAUGUAUGGGGGCUGACGCCUGCCCAGUGCCGGAAGGUUAAGGAAGCUGGUCAGCGCAAGCGAAGCUGGCGACUGAAGCCCCGGUGAACGGCGGCCGUAACCAUAACGGUCCUAAGGUAGCGAAAUUCCUUGUCGGGUAAGUUCCGACCCGCACGUAAGGCGUAACGAUCUGGGCGCUGUCUCGGAGAGAGGCUCGGCGAAAUAGAAUUGUCUGUGAAGAUGCGGACUACGUGCACCCGGACAGAAAGACCCUAUGAAGCUUUACUGUAGCUUGGUAUUGUGCUCGGGCUCGGAAUGCGCAGGAUAGGUGGGAGGCUUUGAUCCAUUGCUUGCGGGUGAUGGUGAGCCACUGGUGAGAUACCACUCUUUCCGAGCUAGAGUUCUAACAGCAACCCGUUAUCCGGGUGCUGGACAGUAUCAGGUGGGCAGUUUGACUGGGGCGGUCGCCUCCUAAAAGGUAACGGAGGCGCGCAAAGGUCUGCUCAGGCUGGUUGGAAAUCAGCCGACGAGUGUAAAAGCAGAAGCAGGCUUGACUGUGAGACCUACAAGUCGAACAGGGAGGAAACUCGGCUUUAGUGAUCCGACGGUUCUGCGUGGAAGGGCCGUCGCUCAACGGAUAAAAGUUACUCUAAGGAUAACAGGCUGAUCUCCCCCAAGAGUUCACAUCGACGGGGAGGUUUGGCACCUCGAUUUCGGCUCAUCGCAACCUGGGGCUGAAGUCGGUCCCAAGGGUUGGGCUGUUCGCCCAUUAAAGCGGUACGCGAGCUGGGUUCAGAACGUCGUGAGACAGUUCGGUCCAUAUCCGGUGCACGCGCAGGAAUAUUGAGAGGAUUUCUCCCUAGUACGAGAGGACCGGGAGGAACGCACCUCUGGUGUGCCAGUUAUCGUGCCAACGGUAAACGCUGGGUAGCCAUGUGCGGAGUGGAUAACCGCUGAAAGCAUCUAAGUGGGAAGCCCACCUCAAGAUGAGUAUUCCCAUGGCAUAAGCCAGUAAGGUCACGGGAAGAACACCCGUUGAUAGGCUCUACGUGGAAGCGCAGUAAUGUGUGAAGCGGAGGAGUACUAAUAGACCGAGGGCUUGACC
rnacentral:rRNA from 1 species